rnacentral:rRNA from 1 species
CUGCCGUAUACUGGGGGAUAACACUUAGAAAUAGGUGCUAAUACCGCAUAAGCGCACAGCUUCGCAUGAAGUGGUGUGAAAAACUCUGGUGGUAUACGAUGGUUCCGCGUCUGAUUAGCUUGUUGGUGGGGUAAUGGCUCACCAAGGCGACGAUCAGUAGCCGGCCUGAGAGGGUGAACGGCCACAUUGGGACUGAGACACGGCCCAAACUCCUACGGGAGGCAGCAGUGGGGAAUAUUGCACAAUGGGGGAAACCCUGAUGCAGCGACGCCGCGUGAGUGAAGAAGUAUUUCGGUAUGUAAAGCUCUAUCAGCAGGGAAGAAAUAGCGACCUUUGGGUCGCCAGACGGUACCUGAUUAAGAAGCCCCGGCUAACUACGUGCCAGCAGCCGCGGUAAUACGUAGGGGGCAAGCGUUAUCCGGAUUUACUGGGUGUAAAGGGAGCGUAGACGGCAGCACAAGUCUGAAGUGAAAUGCCGGGGCUUAACCCCGGAACUGCUUUGGAAACUGUGCAGCUAGAGUGCAGGAGAGGUAAGUGGAAUUCCUAGUGUAGCGGUGAAAUGCGUAGAUAUUAGGAGGAACACCAGUGGCGAAGGCAGCUUGCUGGACUGUAACUGACGUUGAGGCUCGAAAGCGUGGGGAGCAAACAGGAUUAGAUACCCUGGUAGUCCACGCUGUAAACGAUGA